rnacentral:rRNA from 1 species
AUUGAACGCUGGCGGCAGGCCUAACACAUGCAAGUCGAACGGUAACAGGAAGAAGCUUGCUUCUUUGCUGACGAGUGGCGGACGGGUGAGUAAUGUCUGGGAAACUGCCUGAUGGAGGGGGAUAGCUACUGGAAACGGUAGCUAAUACCGCAUAACGUCGCAAGACCAAAGAGGGGGACCUUCGGGCCUCUUGCCAUCGGAUGUGCCCAGAUGGGAUUAGCUAGUAGGUGGGGUAACGGCUCACCUAGGCGACGAUCCCUAGCUGGUCUGAGAGGAUGACCAGCCACACUGGAACUGAGACACGGUCCAGACUCCUACGGGAGGCAGCAGUGGGGAAUAUUGCACAAAGGGCGCAAGCCUGAUGCAGCCAUGCCGCGUGUAUGAAGAAGGCCUUCGGGUUGUAAAGUACUUUCAGCGGGGAGGAAGGGAGUAAAGUUAAUACCUUUACUCAUUGACGUUACCCGCAGAAGAAGCACCGGCUAACUCCGUG